rnacentral:rRNA from 1 species
UACGUAGGGCGCAAGCGUUGUCCGGAAUUAUUGGGCGUAAAGAGCUCGUAGGCGGCCUGUUGCGUCCGCUGUGAAAUCCCGGGGCUCAACCCCGGGCGUGCAGUGGAUACGGGCUGGCUGGAGGCAGGCAGGGGAGAACGGAAUUCCUGGUGUAGCGGUGAAAUGCGCAGAUAUCAGGAGGAACACCGAUGGCGAAGGCAGUUCUCUGGGCCGUAACUGACGCUGAGGAGCGAAAGCGUGGGGAGCGAACAGG